rnacentral:rRNA from 1 species
GAUGAACGCUGGCGGCGUGCCUAAUACAUGCAAGUCGAGCGAACAGACGAGGAGCUUGCUCCUCUGACGUUAGCGGCGGACGGGUGAGUAACACGUGGAUAACCUACCUAUAAGACUGGGAUAACUUCGGGAAACCGGAGCUAAUACCGGAUAAUAUAUUGAACCGCAUGGUUCAAUAGUGAAAGACGGUUUUGCUGUCACUUAUAGAUGGAUCCGCGCCGCAUUAGCUAGUUGGUAAGGUAACGGCUUACCAAGGCAACGAUGCGUAGCCGACCUGAGAGGGGGGACGGGCCCAAGAGGAACUGAGAAACGGUCCAGACCCCUACGGGAGGCAGCAGUAGGGAAUCUUCCGAAAGGGGCGAAAGCCUGACGGAGAAACGCCGGGGGGGUGAAGAAGGUCUUCGGAUCGUAAACCUCUGUUAUUGGGGAAAAAAAAAUGUGAAAGUAACUAUGCCGGUCUUGAGGGUACCAAUAAAGAAAGCCACGGCUAACUACGU